rnacentral:rRNA from 1 species
CCUACGUGGGGCAGCAGUGGGGGAUAUUGCACAAUGGGGGAAACCCUGAUGCAGCGACGCCGCGUGUGGGAAGACGGUCCUCUGGAUUGUAAACCACUGUCCCCAGGGACGAAAAUGACGGUACCUGGGGAGGAAGCUCCGGCUAACUACGUGCCAGCAGCCGCGGUAAUAUGUAGGGGGCGAGCGGUUGCCGGAAUUACUGGGUGUAAGGGGAGCGUAGGCGGGGAUGCAAGUUGGGUGUAAAAACUACCGGCUCAACUGGUAGUCGCACUCAAAACUGCAGCUCUUGAGUGAAGUAGAGGCAGGCGGAAUUCCUAGUGUAGCGGUGAAAUGCGUAGAUAUUAGGAGGAACACCAGUGGCGAAGGCGGCCUGCUGGGCUUUUACUGACGCUGAGGCUCGAAAGUGUGGGGAGCAAACAGGAUUAGAUACCCGAGUAGUC